CCUACGGGAGGCUGCAGUAGGGAAUAUUGCUCAAUGGGGGAAACCCUGAAGCAGCAACGCCGCGUGGAGGAUGAAGUUUUUCGGAUUGUAAACUUCUUUUGUUAGAGAAGAUAAUGACGGUAUCUAACGAAUAAGCACCGGCUAACUCCGUUCCAGCAGCCGCGGUAAUACGGGGGAUGCAAGCGUUAUCCGGCUUUAUUGGGUUUAAAGGGUGCGUAGGCGGUGAGGCAAGUCAGCGGUGAAAUGCCCCCGCGCAACGGGGGGAAGUGGCAUUGAUACUGCGUUGCUGGAAUGCGGAUGACGUGGGAGGAAUGUGUGGUGUAGCGGUGAAAUGCAUAGAUAUCAGACAGAACACCGAGUGCGAAGGCAUCUCACGAAUCCGUGAUUGACGCUGAUGCACGAAAGCGUGGGGAGCAAACAGGAUUAGAUACCCCAGUAGUC
rnacentral:rRNA from 1 species